rnacentral:rRNA from 1 species
AUUGAACGCUGGCGGCAUGCUUUACACAUGCAAGUCGAACGGUAACAGGCCGCAAGGUGCUGACGAGUGGCGAACGGGUGAGUAAUGCAUCGGAACGUGCCCAGUCGUGGGGGAUAACGCAGCGAAAGCUGUGCUAAUACCGCAUACGAUCUAUGGAUGAAAGCGGGGGACCGUAAGGCCUCGCGCGAUUGGAGCGGCCGAUGUCAGAUUAGGUAGUUGGUGGGGUAAAGGCUCACCAAGCCAACGAUCUGUAGCUGGUCCGAGAGGACGACCAGCCACACUAGGACUGAGAAACGGCCCACACUCCGACGGUAGGCAGCAGUGGGGAAUUUUGGACAAUGGGCGCAAGCCUGAUCCAGCAAUGCCGCGUGCAGGAAGAAGGCCUUCGGGUUGUAAACUGCUUUUGUACGGAACGAAAAGGUUUGGGUUAAUACCCUGGGCCGAUGACGGUACCGUAAGAAUAAGCACCGGCUAACUACGUGCCAGCAGCCGCCGUAA